CCCCAUUUUAGGGAAGAGAAAGUGAGGCACAAAAGUGUUCACUUAUUUUUCCCAAGUUUCGCAGCUAGUAAGAGGCAGACCCAGAAUUCCGCUGCGGCAGUUUGGCUCCGGGGUACGUGGACGUGACACUCAUGACAUUUGUCUUGUGCGGCCCUGCUUCUUCCUUAGCGCGGUGAGCACGCUGGGUGAGGCGGGGGUCUGAGGGACAAACGGCCCAGGAUGCAUCUCAGGGAGGCUUGGCAAGGAGGCUCGUGCAGCCGGGAGGCCAGGGCUGCAGACUUUUUCCGCUUUCCUGGUACCGCGAAGGACCCAUCGCCCUUGCAUUUGGAUUUCCACUUCCUUGUCCUUCCACAUGAAAUUUGAAAUGGUACGAAGAAUCCAGCUAUUAGAAUUAUCCCACGUCCUGACUGACUUUCAGCGGAUUUGUGCUGUGGACCACAGACAGAAAAGUCUCUCCCGAGAUCUGGACUCUGCAAUGUACUCUCUCAACAACCAGCAUUUUUGCCUAAGAGGAAAAGCAUUGUGUCAUCCAUUUUAAUUACACAUCUUGUGUCUGGCAGUAAUGUUACUGUUGGUACUGCCAAAGCUAUGAGUCUCUUUGCAAGGCUGUUCCUUGGGACUAUGUUCAAUGUUAUGCAUGAUUGGAUCAGAAUUGGGACACAGAGAAUUUUUGGCAGCAUUUGAAUAUUUCCUACAGAUAAAAGGAAAAGAAUUAAGUUGUAAGUGUUUGCCUACUUUGCUCUGUGGGGCUGAUUGGAAUAAUGGGUAAAAAGAAUUGGUUGAAAUCUAAAAAGGUUAAAUUGAUUUACAUAACAUACAGUGGAGUUUGAAGGGGUGCUUGAGCUAAGUUUGAAGAGAGUGCGUAACAAUAGAAGCCAAUGCUGAAGCACCGAAGGGAGUUUUGGGAGGAAAGCAUUUUGAAAUAAAAUAUAGGGUGAGCAUAUUGUUCUGUGUCA
rnacentral:lncRNA from 1 species